GGUUAAAACACAUUGUGUUGUAAAAAAAAUGAUUGUUAGUUAAUGUGUGUAUUCUUAACUUUUAAAAGACAUUAAACGUUAUUUCUACAUUUAUUUUAUUGGCAAACGAGUGGCUUUGAACUAUAAAGAAGACCAAAAUAGGAGUUUGAGAAUGAAUUCCCCUUUCCGAUGAUUGAUUUAAACAGGAUAUUAAAAGAUACGGUAAUACAAUCCGGGAAAUACAAAUUUGAAUGGUCAUUUGCCAUUAAUAUUUAUUCGAUUAAUACCAUGCUAUGAUAGGGAAUACGGGUUUUACCCAACAUCAGGGAGCUAGUUGUUUGUCGAAUAUUGUUGUAAGCAGUAUAUAUUUAUUUGAUGAAAUUCAUCAAAACCAUCUACAUCCCAAACUGUACCUACAAUUGUAAUUAUUAUUUUAAUUUAUUUAAAC
rnacentral:lncRNA from 1 species